UGGUGUGAUUCCGUCCUGUGCGGCUGUUCUCUUGAGCAGUGGUUGUUUAUCUCCGUCCGCCUUCUCUCCCACCUAAGUGUGUGCCGCCACCCAAUGGAAGAUUCGAUGGACAUGGACAUGAGCCCCCUGAGGCCCCAGAACUAUCUUUUUGGUUGUGAACUAAAGGCUGACAAAGAUUAUCACUUUAAGGUGGAUAAUGAUGAAAAUGAGCACCAGUUAUCUUUAAGAACGGUCAGUUUAGGGGCUGGUGCAAAGGAUGAAUUGCACAUUGUUGAAGCAGAGGCAAUGAAUUACAAAGGCAGUCAAAUUAAAGUAACACUGGCAACUUUGCAAAUGUCUGCACAGCCAACCAUUUCCCUUGGGGGCUUUGAAAUAACACCACCAGUGGUCUUAAGGUUGAAGUGUGGUUCAGGUCCACUGCAUAUUAGUGGACAGUACUGCGUAACUGUGGAGGAAGAUGCAGAGUCAGAAGAUGAAGAGGAGGAGGAUGUGAAACUCUUAAGUAUAUCUGGAAAGCAGUCUGCCCCUGGAGGUAGUAGCAAGGUUCCACAGAAAAAAGUAAAACUUGCUGCUGAUGAAGAUGAUGAUGAAGAUGAUGAGGAAGCUGAAGAAAAAAAUGGAAAAGACUCAAAACCAUCAUCAACACCAAGAUCAAAAGGACAAGAACCCUUCAAAAAAACAGAAAAACUCCUAAAACACCAAAAGGACCUAGUUCUGUAAAAGACAUUACAACAAAAAUGCAAGCAAGUAUAGAAAAACGUGAUUCUCUUCCCAAAGUGGAAGCCAAGUUCAUCAAUUAUGUGAAGAAUUGCUUCCAGAUGACUGACCAGGAGGCUAUUCAAGAUCUCUGGCAAUGGAGGAAGUCUCUUUAA